rnacentral:rRNA from 1 species
CACCGCUGGUGCACCAGUUGUUCCGCCAGGAGCACAGCUGGGUAGCCAUGUGCGGACGGGAUAAGCGCUGAAAGCAUCUAAGCGUGAAGCCCCCCUCAAGAUGAGAUUUCCCACAGCGUAAGCUGGUAAGACCCCUUAUAGAUGAUGAGGUGGAUAGGUUCGAGGUGGAAGCGUGGCAACACGUGGAGCUGACGAAUACUAAUCGGUCGAGGGCUUAACCAA